rnacentral:rRNA from 1 species
AUUGAACGCUGGCGGCAUGCCUUACACAUGCAAGUCGAACGGUAACAGGUCUUCGGAUGCUGACGAGUGGCGAACGGGUGAGUAAUACAUCGGAACGUGCCCAGACGUGGGGGAUAACGAGGCGAAAGCUUUGCUAAUACCGCAUACGAUCUAAGGAUGAAAGCAGGGGACCGCAAGGCCUUGCGCGUUUGGAGCGGCCGAUGGCAGAUUAGGUAGUUGGUGGGAUAAAAGCUUACCAAGCCGACGAUCUGUAGCUGGUCUGAGAGGACGACCAGCCACACUGGGACUGAGACACGGCCCAGACUCCUGCGGGAGGCAGCAGUGGGGAAUUUUGGACAAUGGGCGAAAGCCUGAUCCAGCAAUGCCGCGUGCAGGAUGAAGGCCUUCGGGUUGUAAACUGCUUUUGUACGGAACGAAAAGGCUCUGGCUAAUACCUGGGGCACAUGACGGUACCGUAAGAAUAAGCACCGGCUAACUACGUG